CAGUCAGACUGACGCUCAUGCUCGAAAGUGCGGGUAUCGAACAGGAUUAGAUACCCUGGUAGUCCGCACGGUAAACGAUGGAUGCCCGCUGUUUGCCUUUGAGGUAAGCGGCCAAGCGAAAGCAUUAAGCAUCCCACCUGGGGAGUACGCCGGCAACGGUGAAACUCAAAGGAAUUGACGGGGGCCCGCACAAGCGGAGGAACAUGUGGUUUAAUUCGAUGAUACGCGAGGAACCUUACCCGGGCUUGAACUGCAGGGGAACGCGGCAGAGAUGCCAAGGUCCUUCGGGACUCCUGUGGAGGUGCUGCAUGGUUGUCGUCAGCUCGUGCCGUGAGGUGUCGGCUUAAGUGCCAUAACGAGCGCAACCCUUCUCUUCAGUUGCCAUCAGGUAGAGCUGGGCACUCUGGAGACACUGCCACCGUAAGGUGUGAGGAAGGUGGGGAUGACGUCAAAUCAGCACGGCCCUUACGUCCGGGGCUACACACGUGUUACAAUGGCGCGUACAGAGGGCAGGUGCUGGGCAAUCAGCAUCGAAUCCUUAAAACGCGUCUCAGUUCGGACUGGGGUCUGCAACCCGACCCCACGAAGCUGGAUUCGCUAG
rnacentral:rRNA from 1 species